UGGGUCUAACCCCAAGUGCAUCAUAGAUUGAACCAUCUCAUGGUCAAUCUUAAUGUGCCUUAGCUCUCCAAAAGCCUGGUAGUCCAGUCUUCAUCAUGAUGAAGACUACCAAGAAUGCUUGAUCUUUAUUUAAAAAUAAAAAGAAAUAAUUUUUAUCUAUUCUCAAAUAAUUUUUUUCUUUUAUUUUACUUCAAUAUGUAAAAAUUUUAAUCAAUAGUUGAAAAUAUAG
rnacentral:lncRNA from 1 species